rnacentral:rRNA from 1 species
UACGGAGGGGGCUAGCGUUGUUCGGAAUUACUGGGCGUAAAGCGCGCGUAGGCGGAUCUGCAAGUCGGGGGUGAAAUCCCGAGGCUCAACCUCGGAACUGCCUUCGAUACUGCGGGUCUCGAGUCCGGGAGAGGUGAGUGGAAUUCCGAGUGUAGAGGUGAAAUUCGUAGAUAUUCGGAAGAACACCAGUGGCGAAGGCGGCUCACUGGACUGGUAUUGACGCUGAGGUGCGAAAGCGUGGGGAGCAAAGCAGG